AUUGAACGCUGGCGGCAUGCUUUACACAUGCAAGUCGAACGGCAGCGCGGGCUUCGGCCUGGCGGCGAGUGGCGAACGGGUGAGUAAUACAUCGGAACGUGCCCAGUAGUGGGGGAUAGCUCGGCGAAAGCCGGAUUAAUACCGCAUACGACCUGAGGGUGAAAGCGGGGGAUCUUCGGACCUCGCGCUAUUGGGGCGGCCGAUGGCAGAUUAGCUAGUUGGUGGGGUAAAGGCCUACCAAGGCGACGAUCUGUAGCUGGUCUGAGAGGACGACCAGCCACACUGGGACUGAGACACGGCCCAGACUCCUACGGGGGGCAGCAGUGGGGAAUUUUGGACAAUGGGCGAAAGCCUGAUCCAGCAAUGCCGCGUGUGUGAUGAAGGCCUUCGGGUUGUAAAGCACUUUUGGCGGGAACGAAAAGGACUGUGCCAAUACCACGGUUCGAUGACGGUACCCGCAGAAUAAGCACCGGCUAACUACGUG
rnacentral:rRNA from 1 species